ensembl:lncRNA
CUGGAAUCCCAUUAUGAUCUCAUCCAUAUGCUUUGCAUAGGGGUUUGUUUGUGCAUAAUUUAAAUUUCCAAACAACACAAUAGGGACUCAUUUCAGAAGGAUGGCCUCUAGAAAGUCAGUGCCUAGUUCCAAAUGAAUUUAAUUGAAUUCUAAGGAUCUAUUAUUCAAAUGUCCACUACAUGCUAAGCACCAUACUAGGUAUCAGGGAAACAAAGGCAAAAGGGAAAUUUUCCCUGCCUUCAUGGAGUUUUUAUUCUAGCAGGGAGAAACAAUUUCAACCCCCAGAAGUGAAAUCAGGAUGUCUCUGACAUCAUUUCAGAAGAGAGGCCACAGAUCUGAUAGGAUGGGAUUGGAAGUGUUUAAAUGUGAAACCAGGAAAGACUCUCCUCUUUCUAUUGAAACCCAAACUAGGACACCAGGAGACAUCAUCUUCCUCCUUUCCUUGGUCAAGCCUAGUCAAGCAUCCAUAUUUGGAAGGCAGAUAUUUGGAAAGCAUUUUUGUAAAUGUUUGACAGUGGGAAAAUCAGAGAAGACCCAUAUAAGUAAGAAGAUUGGCCUCAAUAUAAUAAGAAGAGACUUAAAAGAGGCCAAGAGCUGUCCCAGAGUGGAAGAGGCUGCCUUGGAAGGACCUGCCUCCCCUUUUCCUAGAGAUCUUCCAGCAAAAGCUGAAGGACCAUUCUAGAGGAGAUUCUUGGCCAGGUUGAGGUUGGAUGAGUUGGCUUCUGAGGUCCUCUGCAAAAAGAAGAGUGGGACAAGUCAUAAAUCCAAUUCAACUCAAUCACCAUUUAUUAAACCCUCCCCACAUACUGAGCCCUGGAAAUAUAAAAAUGGAUAAAGCACAGGCUUUGCUCAAGGACUUUGCAAUUCAGUCAUGGGAAUAACACCUUCAUGUCAAUUAAGGAAGCAUUGGUAAAAGUCCUAGAAGGUGGGAAAUGCCGUCCUAGGGACACUCAAACAGGUUUGGGAACUCCUUGGUACAGGCACUCCAUUGGUACAAAGUUCUGCCUAUUCUGUUUGACUCGGGGCAAUCCUUUUAUGUAGAAGCUGGAAGAGUCUUCAAACAUCCAGAUUCUGCGAUUCUGGGAAGAAAAAUCCCCCACUUUUGCAAAGCAUGGAUACACCUUGGAAACAAAUGAGUAAAUACCUGAUUAUUUGAAGAGGGAGGGAGAACACACUAUCUGCUAGGAUGGGACCCAACAAACUAGAACUCGAAGGGGGCUGGAUACUCCAAGUGGUGGAAGUGAAGAAGGAGUCCAGCUCAGAAGACAGCCAGGUUGUGAACUCUGCCUAGAGGGGAAUGAGAUCAUGCCCAAGAGAGGGCUGGAAAUAGUGCCGAAAUUGGAGCUGUUCCUUCAAGGAGGGAUGGGAUACCAAAAAGCAUCAACUGUUUGUUCUGCUUGCGACCCUGAUGCUUUGAUCUCUUCUCCCCUACCAACGACCUCUGACAUGUUCACAUGAUCUAAUCUUCUCAACCCCCCAGAGGACCAAAGCACACAGCUAGGAACCCUCAGGGGAGUCUAGGCACUUGGAGAAGAAUUUGCAGAAGAAAGGGGGAGAGGGAAUGUAUUCACAUCAAACCAAACCAAUCUUUGUUAAGCCCCUGUGAUCUGAAUGGGUGCUCCUUUUCCUUGCUAAUUUAGGACUGAAUUCAGGAGAGAGAGAGCCUGGGCAUCAAUUUGUUU